rnacentral:tRNA from 1 species
AUGGGCGUAGCACAGUGGUAGUGCAGCGGUCUCCAAAGCCGCCCGCGGAGGUUCGAUUCCUCCCGCCUGUG